CUAGCCGUAAACGAUGGAUACUAGGUGUGGGUGUCGCAGGGCAUCCGUGCCGCAGUUAACGCGUUAAGUAUCCCGCCUGGGGACUACGGUCGCAAGACUGAAACUCAAAGGAAUUGACGGGGGCCCGCACAAGCGGUGGAGCACGUGGUUUAAUUCGAUGCAAACCGAAGAACCUUACCUGGGUUUGACAUGCAGGUGGUAGUGAAAUGAAAGUGGAACGACUCUGCAGUAAUGCAGGGAGCCUGCACAGGUGC
rnacentral:rRNA from 1 species